rnacentral:lncRNA from 1 species
UUUUUUUUUUAGAGUAAAUGCUUUGUUUCCACCUUGAAUUAUACAUGAAAUUGUUGAGACACACCCAAAUUUUAGGAGGGUCUUAUUACUCCGGACUAAUUAAAAUCAUAUUUUUGGCAACCUUAGUACCUACGUGGCACAUCAGUUAAUCCUGAAGGUCCACGUAGGCCCCAUAGGCACUAUAAUUGCCAAAAAUACAGUUUUAAUUAUUUCAGGAGGAUAAUAGGACCCUCCUAAAGUUCGGGUGUGUCUCAUUUGAAUUAUUAUCUAACGGUAAUUGACUUUUAAUUUAAGGACUUUACAUGAAAAUCUUGCUAAUGCCCUCUUUAUGCAUGAAGUUCUUUUGUGAAAUAUAUGUUAUGAUUGAAGAAACGAAUUUGUUUGUAAUUUGAGGUAAGUUUUUUUGACAAUUUAUUCUAAUGUCAAUUAUUAUUUUCUGAUAAUGUUACUUUUUCAUAGAUAAUUUCAUUGAUUGAUGAGAGACACACGUGCACGUGUAAUAAAAUAGUAUUUUACAUACUUUUUAAUAUGAGGAAAUAUUUAUACUGGAUUUAGAAUCGGAUAUAGAGCCAGAAUUUUCACAAAGCAAAUUUAAAAUUUAAAGAAAAAUUAAUCAAAUAAGAUUCGACAUCUAAUAUANNNNNNNNNNNNNNNNNNNNNNNNNNNNNNNNNNNNNNNNUAUAUAUAUAUAUAUAUAUAUAUAUAUAAUUUUAAUAAUGUAUAAAUAAUAGUAUAAUUUUCCAAGAGAUUUGGUAAACCCCAUUCCAAAGGUCACUCCGCCCCUGUUUAGAAUAUAUUCCAAAAUUCAUAUAUGGGGGUAAAAACUUACCUAAGGAUUCGGUGUUUACAAUAUAAAUCAUAUUGAUAAACAAUAAAUACUUACUUUCAUUGAAUGUCUACCUAAAAUCAACAAAUACAUAAUAUGUAUUGAAAUAUAUAUACACACACUGUUGGGUUCAAAAGACGUUAUGCAGAAGUUAUUAGUUGCAAACAAUUGUGGUGAUAAUUCGGAAGACACAUAAAACAAUACUAAAAAGCUUAAUGUUAUUAUAUUAUUUGGCCAAUUGACCUACAUAUAAAACUUAAUAUUAAAAAUAUAAAAACUAAUGAGAGGCAAAAUCUCCCCUAAAUAAGGACUCUUUAAAGACUACAUUGUGGAUACUAUUGUAUUAUUGUAUGAGAAGAGGGAUCUUCAUAGAUGAUCAAAAUAAGAGGUUUGCCAAAUAUAAAAAAGCUCUAUAUUUUUUCUUUCAAGAAAAAUAAAAGUAAUUAUGGUAACUUUAAUUUUCUUUCCAAGAAAAAGUAAAACUUAAUUUUGGCAAGAAAAUUAGGGCAAAAAACCUCACAAAUCUCCCAUUUUUUGCUUGAUUUUCUUCACCCGAUCCGCCUUUUUCACAUCUUUGAUCUUUGUUAUUCAUAUUGUUUCAACAUUGCUGCUUGACAUGUUUAAAAAUGGAGUUUUUGGAUUAAAAAUAUAUGAGCCCUUUGUAGAGUUAAAAGUGAACUUUAUUUUUAAAUUGUAGAAAAUAUGAUUGUCAAUUAUCUCCACAUGUAGCUUUUGGACAUAUAUCUUGAUUAUCAUCAAAUUGAUUGCAAAUUGAUUAGAACCGUCUUGGACUUGUCUUCAACCUCGUUUUACCAAACCAUUAGAUCUUUGAACCGUAGGCUCUGAUACCACUUGUUGGGUUCAAAAUCGAGAGAACGUUAUGCGGAAGCUAUUAGUUGCAAAUCAUUGUGGUAACAAUUUAGAAGACACAUAAAACAAUACUGAAAAGCUUAAUAUUAUUAUAUUAUUUGGCCAAUUGGCCUACAUAUAAAACAUAAUAUUAAAAACAUAAAAACUAAUGAGAGACAAAAUCUCCCCUAAACAAAAACUUUUAAAGACUACAUUGUGGAUGUUACUGUGUUAUUGUAUGAUAAGAGGGAUCUUCUAUUUAUAGAUAUUAAAACCUUUUAGAAAAAGGUUUGCCAAAUAUGAAAGAGUUUUAUAUUUUCUUUUCAAGAAAAAUAAAAAUAAUUAUGGUAACUUUUAGUAAAAUUUAAUUUUGGCAAGAAAAUCAGGGAAAAAAACUUAACACACACUUAUAUACUUUAUUAGAUCAGUUAACUAUAGUGCAUGUAAAUUAUUGCAUAUAAUGUGACAAACAUAUUUAGCAUAAGAUCAGACAAAUCAAAAGAAUUGAUCAACAACAUCAUAAAGUUAAAAAUUUAAAUAAAAGUCUGAAUAAAGUUAAUUUUUUAUACAAAAUUUAAGAAUCGUGAAUAUGAGACUAAUUACAUUGUUGUUGGGUACUAUGUAGUUUUGAUGAUUGACAAACUGACACAUGAAUGAAACAUGUUACUUGAACUAGUCCACGCAUAGGAAAGCAGAUUUCCAAUUUCACUGAUAGAUGCAAACAAGAUUUCUUAAAGACAAGAACGAAUAAGCAAGCCUAAUUCUGAUAUACUCAAGCUACUGAUGAUGUGGGGAAUAUAACAAGUUGAAUUUGAUUCAAACACUUAAUGAUAAGGGAAAGCAAUUUGAGUUGAAAAAGGAGUCCUACGUGAAGAAGGAGUUUCACUUCUGAGUAUAUCUUGAAGAGUCCUAUGUAUGCGAGGAGAAAGAUUCUAAUAAAUAAGCAUGUGCUGAUUUAAAAGACUUGAAAUUUUACUACAACACUAAGGAGACAAGAGUUGGAAUUAAAGAAAGAGUCUCACUUGAAGUAUAACUCUAUGUAAUGAGAGUUUUGAUUAAAGUGGGAUUUUAAAAUAAAGAAUGACUCUUUGGAGAGUUGUGCUUAAAUAAAAGAUGCAUCAUUCAGAGUAAUUCACACACUUACAAAGCAGAAAAGCACAAUCGACAGAUUGACUUCACAAAGUGCUACUCAAUCACUGAAGAAACACAUUGAAGAACCUGGUCCUAAGUAUAGAAUCCAGCUAAGAGUUUUAGCGUUGAUUUUUAGAGUUGUUCAUUGUGUUUGAAUUAUUGAUGUAAUAUUAGUUUCAGUGUGUUAUAAACUGAAUUAGGAGCUAGUCUUUGAGUUGGGGAAAAUUCAGAGACUUUGGAAAUGCAUACCUUGAGAGGUGUGUGUGUAGUUAGGAAUUAGAGUUUAUAAUUCUUAGUUGUUGAGUCAAAGGAAUUAGAGUUUAUAAUUCCUAGUUGUUGAAUUAUAGGGAUUACAGUUUAUAAUUCCUAUUUGUUGGUUACAAGAGUUUUGUAAUCAAUCGUUGUUGAGGCUCAGAGUUAUUUAGUGAAGUUGGGGUUAAAUCCUGUAGAGGUACAGAUCAUGAUUUUUUUACACCUUUUUGAGAUGGGUGUUUUCCACGUAAAAAUCAUUGUGUUCUUACUUUCUGUUUUACUGCUUCCUUGGAACACGUCAAUGGAACACGUCAGGCAACCCGUUCCAUCGAUAAGCAAUAGUUAGCCGAAAAUAAGAUAAUUAGUAGGGUACGAACUCUAACAAGUGGUAUCAGAGCGUGAUUGUCUUAAAAAGGCCUAGCACCUAAGACAAAGAUCAAUAUGAUGAAUUCCGCACCACCUACUGGUCACAGUGAAGGUAAAUCCACUAUUAGACCUCCACUCUUUGAUGGUUCUUACUUCAUUUGAUGGAAAGCUAGGAUGAAAACAUUCAUUCAAGGGGAAAACUACGAGUUAUAGAAUAGGAUAACUGAUGGUCCUACUAUUCCAAUGAAGUUAAAAGAUGGGAAACUGGUCAAGAAAGUAAGAAGUGAAUUCACUCCUGAUGAGUUAUUGGCAUUAAAGAAAAAUGCUAAGACCAAAAACAUUUUGGUAUGUGGAUUAGGACCUACUGAAUACAAAAGGGUAUCAACAUGAACCACUGCUAAGCAAAUUUGAGAUGCUCUAGUAAAUGCUCAUGAAGGCACAUCUCAAGUACGAAAAUUCAGAAUUUCCCUUCUUUUCACUGAGUAUGAGGCAUUUAAGAUAAAGGAGAAUAAAACCUUGCAUGGGAUGAUGACAAGGCUUACUGCCUUAACAAAUGAGUUGACCUCCUUAGGAAAAGCUAUAUCUGAAGAAGAACAAGUCGAUAAGGUACUGAGGGUAUUACCAAAAUCAAAGUGGAAUGUUAAGGUGACUACAAUCAGCAAAGAAAAUAAGGAUCUUGUACGCAUGACCCUAGAUGAAUUAGUGGAGAAUUUGAGAAUUUAUGAAAUGGAAAUUUAUGGAACAAAAGUUCUAGAAGCCCCAAAGGAUACCUUAACUCUGAAGGCAUCUUACAGUGAUGAAGAAAUUGAACUUGAUAGAAUAAGUUGCCUUUAUAGGUAAGAACUUCAGCAAAUUCCUCAAAAAGAAGAAGGGAACAGGUAGCAAAAAAUGGUCAAAUGACAAUCUAAAUGGAUGCUACAAGUAUGGUAAGACUGAUCAUCAUAUCAAGGAUUGUCCUGCCUGGGAAAUACAAUGGAGAAAGGAAAGGGAUGAAAAGAAAUUGAAAGAAAAAAACCAAAAAGAGGAAAGAAUAUGCAAUGGUAGCAGCUUGGGGAUUUGACUCAGAUGAUGAUGAAGUUGAUGAAGCAGUACUCAUGGCUCUUGGAGAUUUAGACUUGGAGGAAGAAGAUGAUGCUUCUGAGGUAAGUAUACUUGAACUUAAAGAAAAGUUGCAUUUGUUUUCUAAAACAAAACUUAUUUCCUUGAUGAGUGCACUAAUUGAUGACUUUCAAGAAUCAACUUCUGAUAGGGAUGAGCUAUUCAACAGUCUUGCAAGAAUCAAAUUUGAUUUUAUUGAUUUAGAAGCUUGCAAGAACACUGUUGAACAGGAAAACUGCUCUCUCAAGAAACAGGUUGAGCAACUUGAUUAUUCUAAUAAUGAUCUUAAGUCUGAAGUUCUAAAAUUGACACUCUCUGAAAAAAGGAAAAAACACCAAGAGUAAAGAACAAUAAAAAGUUGAACUUUAAUUAGUCAAGUACAAAGAAGAGUGCAAUAAUGCAACAGAAAUGGUGAAUAAACUAAGUCAAGGAGUCUCUAAACUAAAACUUGACCUUGAAAGAGCAAACAGGUGGACAAAUUCCUCAAGAAUUNNNNNNNNNNNNNNNNNNNNNNNNNNNNNNNNNNNNNNNNNNNNNNNNNNNNNNNNNNNNNNNNNNNNNNNNNNNNNNNNNNNNNNNNNNNNNNNNNNNNNNNNNNNNNNNNNNNNNNNNNNNNNNNNNNNNNNNNNNNNNNNNNNNNNNNNNNNNNNNNNNNNNNNNNNNNNNNNNNNNNNNNNNNNNNNNNNNNNNNNNNNNNNNNNNNNNNNNNNNNNNNNNNNNNNNNNNNNNNNNNNNNNNNNNNNNNNNNNNNNNNNNNNNNNNNNNNNNNNNNNNNNNNNNNNNNNNNNNNNNNNNNNNNNNNNNNNNNNNNNNNNNNNNNNNNNNNNNNNNNNNNNNNNNNNNNNNNNNNNNNNNNNNNNNNNNNNNNNNNNNNNNNNNNNNNNNNNNNNNNNNNNNNNNNNNNNNNNNNNNNNNNNNNNNNNNNNNNNNNNNNNNNNNNNNNNNNNNNNNNNNNNNNNNNNNNNNNNNNNNNNNNNNNNNNNAGAGAUUCCAGCUAAGGAAUUUUGUUGACCGAGGGGAAGGUGUUAGGCACCCCUCGAUCCCGUGGUUCAACCACGGUCGCUUGGCAGAGCGUAUCGGCUAAAUUGACGUUACAAAUACAUAAACCACACAAAAGCACGCAAAAUAAUCAAACAAUAACAAAGCAAAACAAAACUGUAAAGUCCAGUCCAAUUAUUACAACCCGAAAUAAAAAUACUGAAAUAACCUACACUAGUCCUAAACCAUGCUUUACCCGAUGCCUCGGGCCUUGAUCAAGAGCAUACUUAGCGUACAAAAUCCUUCGGGGAAUUCCCCGUUGAGUAAAUACAAAUUACCUCGAGGCAUUCCCCGGUUAAAUAAAUACAUUUUCCAAAUACGAUAAACAAAACAUUCAACAAAUAUUCCAAUCAUUCCCACAUUACACCAAUCCUAAACUUGCCUACCCGAGCUUACUUUUUGCCUACCCGCUCGACAACAUACCGAAUUCAACAUCAACAAUGUAUCAAAAAUAUCAUAAUAUUUACUUGUAUCAAUUUUCGAUUCCCAUCCCCAAAUUUAUUUCAACCAACAUGAUUAAAUAAGUCUCAAUCAAAUCAACCACGGUAAUCGCGAUUUCUCCAACAUAAUAUCGAAACAUAUCACCAUAUCACAAUCAUCAAACAAACACUAACAACGAAGAUUCAAACCAAACACGCAACAAAUAAAUCAUCCAUACCCACAACAUCACAAAAAAAGGUCAAGAUAAAAUAAAGAUUCGGUAGAAGAAAUGGACCUCGAUGAAAUUGAUCCUUGUCGAUAAUAAAGAAAUCUAAAGGCCAAAAUACUCGACCGAAGAACCUCGAUUACGAUGAAUCCAACUCGGUAUAGGGAAAAACUAAUAGGACAACUUCAAAACCAGUGAGACAAACUUUGUUAUACGAAACCCAAACAAGAACGACGACGCAAAUUGAUAACGACAACUCGAAAUCCAAUAUCGACGACGAACCCAAGACCCCAACAAACAACCAGGAACCCAAAACCCAACGCAAAUUGAGCUCCGGUGAGUUUCGGUGACGACCAAAACAGUGAUUCAAGACGGAAGCUGGAAUCGAAUAAAACGAACAGUUUCGGCAACCAGUCGACGACGAACAGUGGAAGAAUGACUGGGAGAUGGCGGUGGUUCAAAUGGCGACGGGCUUUACUGUUUCGCCGGCGGAGUCGGCUGGUCUACUGGUGGUUGAUUCGUCCCAGCUGGCGGUCGAGGGAGAGGGGAAGAGAAGGCUAGCCGGUGCUGAGCUGGCCGGCGUCAGCCAUGGAUGUCGAUGGAGUCAUUGGUUGGUUGUCGGCGAAGUUCGUUGAGAGAGAGAGUGAGAGUCUAGAGAGAGAAGGAGAGAGUUCGGUCCUCCUUUGUUUUUUUUAUUGUGCCAGGAUCCCUGGCCGGCUGGCGGUGUUCGCCUGUGGUGGUGACUGUUUCGCCGGCGAUGGAAUGGUUCGCCAGUGGGUGGCGGCGAUAGAGAGUAUGGAUCGGGGAGAGAGAAUAAUGGUAUUUGGCCCCUUUUUUUGUUCGUAUAUGUUGAGGUUCCCCCCUUCUUUUUGUGUGUAUGUGUGUAUAUAUUGUAUUUUCCCCUUCCUGGUCCUUUUUUUUUGGACAAGAAAAAAAAGGGGGGGUGUGUGACGUGGGGUAAGGUUGGGUAGGGGUAGGGAGGUGGUUUAUUUUGAUUGGGUAGGUUGUUAGGAUAAGAUAGAAUUAGUUAGGAUAGGUUUUGUUAGGGAUUUUUUUUUUUUUGUAUUUUGUGAGGGGAUAAUAACAUGGGGGAGGGGACACGGGAGGAUAAAAUAAGAAUGGGUAAAAACGACAUUGGGAGGGACGAAAUUAGGUGUCUACAAAGACUUGUGCUAUAUCUAUGGAAACCUUGGACAUCCAACCACUGAAUGUCCAUUUGCUGUCAAAAGUAGAUCCAGCAGUCUAUAUCUGGCAAAUAAACUAUCUUAGACCAAGAAAAGGAUAGCUAAACCUGGUUAGAGAAACAGGUCACGUAACCUGUUGCCUGUAUGGGCUAGAAGAAAUCUGAUUCAUCCAUUUACUCAUAAGAAAGGACCCAAGCUUGUCUGGGUUCCUAAAGUUAACCCCUAAUUUGUUUUGCAGGUGAGAGUGAAAGGAGAAAAGAAAAAUUUAUGCAUAAAUAAAGCUUGCUCAAGGCAUAAGACUAGAAGAAAAUAAAGUUUCUUUCACUCACCACAUCUAAAGGGGAAUGGAUCAUUUGAAAGAUAGCCAGAUUUGUAGUGCUCAUGUAAGGGGGGAGCAAGGGAGAUUUAAAACAAAUAAAAAAGAGGAUGAGUGUGAAACUAAUGAGCAUGCACAGGAACAUGUUGUACCACUUGGUUCAACUGUUGUACAGACUGAGGCAUAUUGACAGGGGAAACAACAAAUCAAGAAAUUGAUGCAUCAAUAACACCAAUACAAGCUGAUGAUAAUUUUGUUGGUAAUUCAUAAGAAUUGGUGUUGUCACAAGAAUCUUGAGAUAUCUCAUGGGAAUCAAUGGCUUAAGACUAUGGUAUUCAAAUGAAAGUAAUUUCACUCUUGAGGGCUAUAAAAAUAUUGACUAUGUGGGUUACUUAAUUGACUGGAGAAGUACCAAAGGCACUAAAUAGAGAGCAUUUUGAAAGAAAUAGGUUAGACUUGGGAAUGAUUAAAAUUGCAUGAACUCCCCUCAAUGAUUGACUAGAAUAAUUAUUUUUCUUCUUAAUCUUAUUAGCUAAAAAGUUAUUCUAUUCAUUCUUGCACAUUUAGUUGUGAGUCCCAAUUCCAGAUUUUUGAUUUUUCUAACGUAAUUUGGUAUUAGAUUGUGCAGAAAAUAGGUACAAACAAGCAAUUGUGAACACAAAGUUCUUCUUAUCAGGUAUGUUCUACACUGACAUAAGCAUAGACUGUCUAAGUUGAAACAGUUGAGCACACCUGUCCAAUUCCACACACUUCAUCCUCUCAUUAUCUAAUAAAUCUAAUGAAUUGGUUGACCAAACUUUCUUUGAUUCUUUCCAAAUGGGUGUGCACAAAUGUGUUAAUCCUAUACCCGAAAUUUCUUCUUCUUUCUCAACCAAAAUAUUAGUUGUGUACCAUGGAUUUGCCAAGCUUGAUCAUCAAUCACAUGCAACAUAUGUUUCUGAAUAAUGAAAAGGGACAUGCUUUCCCUUUUAGUUCCUAAUUGGUUAUUUUUUUUAGGACUUCUCAGUCCUAAAUCAGGUUUGACUUAUAAACAAAAUAAAUGUUCUUGAACAGAUGGAUCAUGUUGCUCUACCUAUUUCAACAAGGAAGGCUAACACUCAUUUGAAAAAAAAAUUGAACUAGAAGCUGCACAAGACAAUCAUAAAGUGGAAUAAGAGAUCCUUAAGGCUAGGAUCAUAACCUUGAAGCUUGACCUUGAUUGAUAGAGGGAUAAAAAUGUUGAAGUCAUUCAUCAAUUGACACAGUUGAUAUCACCUGCUCCACCUUCCUCAUCAGCUCCUCACUAUUUGUAUCCUUAGUCAUGUCCCACUCAAUUAUUUUGCUUUGUUCAGUACUAGCUUAGGUUUAAUGUGGAACAUGCUCUGUCAGUUAAAUAGAAUGGUUAUCUUUGCUAAAUUGACUCAUUUUUGCUCUCUUUAAUACAUUACUAUGUUGGCUAGAGUCUUUAACUGAUUAUUUUGGUGAUAGCCCCAAUGACCAUGAAUAGCAUAACAAAUCACUUUGGCUAGUAUAUUAGUGCAUUAAAAUGAUUUUUCAAUAAUGCCAAAAGGGGGAAGAUAAUAGGGUUGUGCAAUGUUUAUAACCCAUUGACUAACUUAUUUUAUUCUAGUAUUUUAUAUUUUAGUGUCUACAGGUGAAGAUGGUUGAAUGCACAAGACUAGAGGUUUGUCAUCAUCAAAAAGGGGGGAUUUUUUGGGUACUAUGUAGUUUUGAUGAUUGACAAACUGACACAUGAAUGAAAUAUGUUACUUGAGCUGGUCCACGCAUAGAAAAACAGAUUUUCAAUUUCACUGAUAGAUGCAGACAAGAUUACUUAAAGACAAGAACGAAUAAGCAAGCCUAAUUCUAAUAUACUCGAGCUACUGAUCAUGUGGGGAAUAUAACAAGCUGAAUUUGAUUCAAACACUUAAUGAUAAAGGAAAGCAAUUUGAGUUGAAAAAGGAGUCCUAUGUGAAGAAGGAGUUUCACUUCUGAGUAUAUCUUGAAGAGUCCUAUGUGUGGGAGGAGAAAGAUUCUGAUAAAUAAACAUGUGCUAAUUUAAAAGAGUUGGAGUUUUAUUACAACACUAAGAAGACAAAAGUUGAACUAAAGAAAGAGUCUCACUUGAAGUAGAACUCUAUGUAAUGAGAGUUUUGAUUAAAGGAGGAGUUUAAAAUAAAGAAUGACUCUUUGGAGAGUUGUGCUUAGAUAGAAGAUGCAUCAUUCAGAUUAAUUCACGCACUUACAAAGAAGAAAAGCACAAUCGACAGAUUGACUUCACAAAGUGCUACUCAAUCACUGAAGAAACACAUUGAAGAACCUGGUCCUAAGUAUAGAAUCCAGCUAAGAGUUUUAGUGUUGAUUUUUAGAGUUAUUCAUUGUGUUUGAAUUAUUGAUGUAAUAUUAGUUUCAGUGUGUUAUAAACUGAAUUAAGAGCUAGUCUUCGAGUUGGGGAAAACUCAGAGACUUUGGAAAUGCAUACCUUGGGAGGUGUGUGUGUAGUUAGGAAUUAGAGUUUAUAAUUCCUAGUUGUUGAGUUAAAGGAAUUAGAGUUUAUAAUUCCUAGUUGUUGAGUUAUAGGGAUUACAGUUUAUAAUUCCUAUUUGUUGGUUACAAGAGUUUUGUAAUCAGUCGUUGUUGAGGCUCAGAGUUAUUUAGUGAAGUUAGGGUUAAAUCCUGUAGAGGUACAGGUCGUGGUUUUUUUACACCUUUUUGAGCCGGGUGUUUUCCACGUAAAAAUCAUUGUGUUCUUACUUUCUAUUUUACUGCUUCCUUGGAACAUGUCAGUGAAACACGUCGGACAACCCGUUUCAUCGAUAAGCAACAGUUAGCCGAAAAUAAGAUAAUUAGUAGGGCACGAACUCUAACAAUUGUGACACGGAGUGAGUAUGAAACUAAUUACAUUGUGAUUUUUGAACUCCAAAUUGACAACUGAGCAUAGUUAAUUAGUACUAAUGUUUGAUGACAACGACUUUUAAUAUAGUAAUAAUAGUAUCCUGAAACAAGUGAUGGUAUGUAUGACUACAUGAUUGUCAUAGUUAGUUGUCGAACAGUGUCAUUGCAUGUAUUGUCCCAGUUUGUCAUUGAGCAUCUACGAUAUUGUUUGAUCCAGGCUCUCUACUUAUUCUUUAUGUGUCUUAAUUCUUUGAAAUCAUAGAGGACUAAAGAGAUUUCUUAAGGAAUGAACCAGAGUACUUCUUCUAUGAUAUCCUUAUCAACAUAUAAUGGAGUAUAUAUUAUGUGAUCAUAGUAUACUGCAACAAUAUAUUUCAACUACUACUUAUUCGAUAUAUAAGUGGCACAUAGACUCCAUUACAUUAUUAUUUAGUUUUACAUCCAUGCAAUGGGACAAAGUACCCGCAUAUAUGCAUUAUUACAUUACAUAGAGUAGUAGAUCUAGGCAUAACAUGACGCCAUUCCAAUUCUAUCAUCCAGUUUGAACACAAAGGGCAUUGGCUUCUCUGAGAGAACCAAACGACGAUAUCCAUUUUGGCGGACGAAGCCAAUGUCUCUGCAAUAAGUAGUGCUUUCGAGACAGAACACUAGCUUAUACUUUCUAUCUGCUAUAUGCUUAAUUUGGAACCAACUGCUCACAUCGUUGGGAAUUCCCAACUUUGCACCUGUGCUUAUGGUGUGUAGAAUUGGUGGCCAUUUUGAUACAAGGUUGUCAACCUUCCACACAGCAAAGUUAGAACACAAAGGAUAAUCAAAAUAGAAAUGGAUGUUUAACGGAGAGGACGCCAAAAUCAAUUGAUAUUUAUUAGGAUUCUUAGGUGUAAAAUAAACCGCGAUACCAUCGUCUUUAGGAAGGUUCGAUAGUACUACUGAUGUAGGACAAGUAGUGGUUUGUUGUUGAUCAUCAAGAUUAGCAAGACGUACACCUCCAAUGUCCAUAGUGGUGUAGGCCGGACGUAUCCAGUACCUAUUGCUUGCGUUGAGGGGUUUGCCAUUAGUAUCGAGUACACCUAACCAUACUUGGUUGGUGGGAGUGUCAGUGGUGGCGCAAGUUGCCAGGGCUGACAAGGGAAGGAUUAUUGCAAGGGAAAGAAAGAGUAAUAUGGUCUUCAUCUUUAGGGACUUUAGUUUGUUUUGAUGAUUAUUUGUA